UAGUUAUAAUGUAUGGGCUUCUUAUUUCUAAAGGCGCAGUCGCCGUAAGAGCACGACGGCAGGUCCAAGAUUUGGUGACGACUAAGAUUGAUCCAGAUGGCGUAUAUGUAAUUAACAAAGAAGCACCAAGAGUCAGCCCUGCAGGCAGCUAGGGAAUAAAGACGGUUUGCAAAAUUUUGCA
rnacentral:lncRNA from 1 species